rnacentral:rRNA from 1 species
CCUACGGGGGGCUGCAGUAGGGAAUUUUCGUCAAUGGGCGCAAGCCUGAACGAGCAAUGCCGCGUGAGCGAAGAAGGUCUUCGGAUCGUAAAACUCUGUUGCGGGGGAAAAAGGAAGGAAAGAGGAAAUGCUUUUCUUUUGAUGGUACCCCGCCAGAAAGUCACGGCUAACUACGUGCCAGCAGCCGCGGUAAUACGUAGGUGGCAAGCGUUAUCCGGAAUGAUUGGGCGUAAAGGGUGCGCAGGCUGCGCGUCAAGUCUGAAGUGAAAGGUACGGGCUUAACCGGUACAGGCUUUGGAAACUGGCACGCUAGAGGACAGGAGAGGGCGGUGGAACUCCAUGUGUAGCGGUAAAAUGCGUAGAUAUAUGGAAGAACACCAGUUGCGAAGGCGACCGCCUG